UUCUCAUACAUCUUUUUCCAUGGUAGGAAACCUGUCAGUCGAACAAGGAGAACCGUUUCGAAGUUAAGUUCCAUCAGAAAACUGGUUCUCGCCCCUACAUUUCCCAUGUGCAUGCUUUGAAAGAGGCUCGUAAGGGUGAAGAGUUGACUUUGUUUGAUAUAUUCAAGGAGUGCCACAAUGGCAAGAAGACUGGUUUCUCUGAGCCAGUUAAGAAGGUGAUAGCUGACAUGUAAAAAGCUAUGGAACAAGGGGUACCAGAAGGUGGAGAACCAAAGAAUGUUGCUGCUGUU